rnacentral:rRNA from 1 species
UACGAAGGGUGCAAGCGUUACUCGGAAUUACUGGGCGUAAAGCGUGCGUAGGUGGUGAGUUAAGUCUGAUGUGAAAUCCCUCGGCUUAACCGGGGAACUGCAUCUGAUACUGGAUGGCUUGAGUUCGGGAGAGGGAUGCGGAAUUCCAGGUGUAGCGGUGAAAUGCGUAGAUAUCUGGAGGAACACCGGUGGCGAAGGCGGCAUCCUGGACCGACACUGACGCUGAGGAGCGAAAGCCAGGGGAGCAAACGGG